UACGGAGGGGGCUAGCGUUGUUCGGAAUUACUGGGCGUAAAGCGCACGUAGGCGGCUUUGUAAGUUAGAGGUGAAAGCCCGGGGCUCAACCCCGGAAUUGCCUUUAAGACUGCAUCGCUAGAAUUGUGGAGAGGUAAGUGGAAUUCCGAGUGUAGAGGUGAAAUUCGCAGAUAUCGGGAGGAACACCAAUGGCGAAGGCAGCUCGCUGGGACGGUACUGACGCUGAGACGCGAAAGCGUGGGGAGCAAACAGG
rnacentral:rRNA from 1 species